CCCUCUCCUCCUCCUCGCCUCUCCUCCUUGCCUGGGAGUCCCUCAGGAUCAACAAAACCAGCGGCGAAUGUUUCAAUACUAGUCCUUGCGUGGACCGGGUGGAGAGAGGGAGGUGAAGGAGGGAGCAGAAAACAGUCCUUGAUACAGAAAUUUCCAGAAUGUCCAAAAGCUACUCUGCCGAACACAUCUCAUCUCAUGGCUGCCAUGCAGUGGAAGAGUUUCUGGUUGCGGGAGGACAGGACACGUGACGAGCAGGUCCACCUGCAGGACACAGUUCUAUGGGCAUCUCAGAAGUGCGUGUGGACCACAGCUGUAAUUCCCUCACCCAGGAAAACAAAGCAGAUCGCAAGUGUGUGCUGGUGACAACACGUUUCGAAUAAUCUUGCAUCAGGUACCUCGCGGGGUAGCUUGCGGUUCCUUCCGACGCGUCUUGGAGACUCGACAUGGAGGUAAGAGCAAAGUGACUUCCCAGAUGAUACGGAGCCAUGUUCUCCAGCUGUCUCCGUGCACUCGGAUUACUGGGAUCCGGUUCAAAGGCCGAUCCUGAGACCCUGAGCUGGCAGGGCUCGGGUGGGCCUGAGGUCCUGCAACUCCAACAAGCUUCCAGGUGAUGGCGCUACUGCAAGGCCCGCCGACCACACACGGAGUCAGGAUGCAGAGAGGUUUGGUCGGUUUCUGGAACUCCCAGACCUGCUGCUUUGGAGGCGAGGAGGGGAGGGGAGUGGUCUUCCUACAACUUAGGUUCAUGGGACCUGGGGUGGCUGAGAUGGACAUUCCAGAGACAGCCGGGUUGAAGGACCUGGAAGGUGCCUUUCAAUUAAGUGAUUUAGGACCUGAAAACUGCCUGGGCACUUAUCCUGCGGGGGAUCUGAGGACCUAAUGAGAAGAUGCUGAAGGAAUUCUACAGGUUACAUUGUGGACGUCAUCCCGCGUGCCAAGCCCUUCCAUCAAUUCUCUCCUUUCGUCCUUGCAAAGAUCCUGUACAUGAUCCAAGAGGUCCCCUAUGGCCCCAUUCUGUAGAUGGGAAGACAGAAGCCCAGGGAAGUUGGAGGCAAGCCCAAGGUCCCACAGCUGGGAGUUGACCUGGCUUUUGGGCUCCCAGCCUGGGCUGCUCAUCACUGUCCUGUGCAGUGAUCCUUCCUGGAUCCUGCAGACCCUUGAGAUGGUGUCCUGACCUCCCAGCCACGCUCUUGCCUUCCAGGCGUAGCAGAGUGAUGGGAAAACCCAGAUGUGGGGCCGGGAGUCCUUAGAUGUGGCCGCCCCCUGCCCCCACUGUCCCCUCUCUCUGCUCUGCUUGGCUCCAGCCUUUCACAGGGAGUUGUGACUCCCGCCACAGGAUGACAAGCACAGGCUCCUCUUCAGCUUUUAACGCAGCAGGGGGCUGCUUGGCGGGCAGCACUGGCUGUGGUGGAGGGGACAUUGCCACUUUCCUCUAAGGAUGCUGCAGCCACCGCAGGAGGAAAGGGAAGAUCCCUGCACGUGGAAGAAGAGGCUGGGGUCCCAGGGAGGAGGAGGGGGCAGCCAGUUUCGCAGGGUAGGUCGUGGCAUUGCCUGAAUACACACCCCCGAAGUGCGGGCUGUGGGAUCAACAAUUUUUUCUCAUCAUUUCAGGUCAAGAUGCAUAGCCCUGCCUUCUCGCUGCCAACUUUUACCUCCAAGCCUUCCCUCAAAUUGCCUCUCCCUAUCCAAAGCCUCCAGCCCUCCCUGCUGCAUUCCUUUGGCCAGCCCAGCAUCCAGAACAAGAGCCUGACCCCCUCAAAAGGGGAGAACCUUGCUCCACAGUUGGCUCUUGAUAGCAAGCAGCAGGCUCCCGGGAUGGGAGUGCAGCCUUGCGAGUGGUUAAGGAUGGGCUGGUUAAGGAGCAGGUGGGCACCCUCUCAGGCCACUGGCUGGUAGACACUUCUCCAGCUGGGGCUUCAGGCUGCUGAUGGCUUUACCUGCCCCCCCAACCCCCCCCAAAGCAUCACAGCAGGGAUCCCUGGUCCCUCGGAUGCCCUUUGCCUGCUGAGAGAGGCAAUCCCCACAGAGGUCCAGGCAAUAGCUUCAUCCCUGGAAAAAAACGAGGCAGACUCCAGGAGAAGCAAAUAAGCCAAUUAAGAGCCCGGCCCAUUCUGGCAGCGGGGGCAGUGCCGGCUCUCAUCUUGCAAGGCGUGAGCGGCUCAGGCUGCUGGGAAGGUACAACGCGUCCCAAUUACACUCUCCUCUGCGACAGGCGGUGUCAAAAGAUGAGAGAAAUCAAACCAAGUGGCUCUCCAGCAGCCCCUCCCCCACGAACGAGAGCCACUGCGUGGCGGCGAUUAUGGUACCAAGGUAGUGGUUAGAAAGGUCAGUUCCGAGGGGCCCGCGCCUGCUGCAGUUGCCUUCACUAGCCGAGCAUCAGCGCUGCGUCUGGGCGGCCUUGUCUGGGCUCCUCCAAUUCAUUUUCUUCUUUGUUGGCACAGCCGAGCAGAAGAAAACACAUUAAGCUCCUCUCCCUCCGCAGACUUCCUGCCCUGCCGUGCCCAGCCCUUCCCCAUCAGGACACUUGGUGUCCAUGGCACAGGCGAGUGCUGACCUGCUACCCGCACGAGAGCCUGGGGAACAGAAUAGAGGGGGCAGAGAUGGUUGGGAAGGGAUGUUUGAAAGCAAAGCCUGGAAGCAACUCCGAGAGCCUCUCCUCCAGACAGAGAACUAGGCAUCGGUGGAAGAAGGAAGACCAGGAGCUCCUGUCGUGGCGCAGUGGUUAAUGAACCGGACUAGUAUC